GGUCAGAUGGCCGAGCGGUCUAAGGCGCCAGAUUUAGGCUCUGGUCCGAAAGGGCGUGGGUUCGAAUCCCACUCUGAUCA
rnacentral:tRNA from 3 species